AUUGAACGCUGGCGGAAUGCUUUACACAUGCAAGUCGAACGGCAGCACGGGUGCUUGCACCUGGUGGCGAGUGGCGAACGGGUGAGUAAUACAUCGGAACGUACCCUGACGUGGGGGAUAACGUAGCGAAAGUUACGCUAAUACCGCAUACGUCCUGAGGGAGAAAGCGGGGGAUCGCAAGACCUCGCGCGUUAGGAGCGGCCGAGGGCGGAUUAGCUAGUUGGUGGGGUAAAGGCCUACCAAGGCGACGAUCCGUAGCGGGUCUGAGAGGACGACCCGCCACACUGGAACUGAGACACGGUCCAGACUCCUACGGGAGGCAGCAGUGGGGAAUUUUGGACAAUGGGCGAAAGCCUGAUCCAGCCAUUCCGCGUGAGUGAAGAAGGCCUUCGGGUUGUAAAGCUCUUUCGGCAGGGAAGAAACGGCCUUGGAUAAUACCUAGGGGCUCAUGACGGUACUGUAAGAAUAAGCACCGGCUAACUACGUGCCAGCCGCCGCGGUAA
rnacentral:rRNA from 1 species